GGUUGGAAGACGUUGCGUAGCCGGCACUUUUUCUUAUUUAAUACAGGCGGGAAAAGCUACAUUUAAUCUAACUCUAUCCGAAAUGGAUCUCAACCAUGCACAGCGUACACAUUCUGUUCCAAUUGAAUCGUGCACAAUAAUACACUUUGUGCAUUCCUGUGUACGUUGUGUUAAGAUGUGUUAGGCUAAUUCUAUAUUUUCUUGUUUUAUUGACCAAAAAGACAAGAGACAAGCAAUAAAAAAUAGGAAACAAAGAUCACAUAAGCAAUUGAAAAGCACCUCAUCCUUGUUUAAUGUUUCAUGACAAGGAUGGAAUGAUAUCACGUAUCCUAUGUAUGUGAUUUUGACUCUAAACGACCCGAAACGGACUCAACAUUUCGCAACACAUUUAUUUAAUGAUCGCUAUCAUGAUGAAAAGAAGAAAGAUGAAUCAUUCCCAUUAUUCACCAUGGUGGAGGAAACUAUGAAGGAAACAACCGUGGACUGAUUAGUAUCUGUGACAAUGGCACAUCUCUACGUACAAGAAUAUAGGUGUUUAUUCCAUACAUACUCCGAACGAGGAGUAGAUGAAAGGACAAACUCACAGUAAAGGAGCAGAUUAUACUAAACUGGCGAUUGCAUCCAGAUUUGUAUAGUGUAUCUAUCUUGUGUACUAUUGUAACAUAUAUCAAAUAUUUUAAUAAAAUGUUUAAUAUUGUAA